AGGGAGAGAAUAUAGAAGACAUCCCAAAGGAAGUGCUGAUGGACUGUGCCCACCUUGUGAAGGCCAAUAGCAUUCAAGGUAAAAAUUGUGACAGUGGAGAAGAAAGUAAAUGAGAUCCUGAACCGAUUAGAAAAGACCAAAGUCGAGCGGUUCCCAGACCUAGCAGCAGAGAAAGAAUGCAGAGAUCGUGAAGAGAGGAAUGAGAAAAAAGCCCAAAUUCAGGAAAUGAAAAGGAGAGAAAAAGAAGAAAUGAAGAAGAAGAGGGAAAUGGAUGAACUUAGGUAUGUCAGAGCUGUGGCAUUGAGACUGACCUCAAAGAUUAUUCCCUGAUGAUUUUAAUCAUGUGUUAGCCAUUAAGAAGGAUAUAUUGGUGGAAGGAGGGACAUGUAACAAGCUCAGUUUAAGCUCAACUUUAAAUCAGUUUUUUAGAAAAAGGCAUUUAUAUUAAUGUUUUGGUUAAAAGAAUUGCUUGUUUAUGGCA
rnacentral:sRNA from 1 species